GCUAUGGGGGUCCGACUAAGCCAUGCGAGUCAUGGGGCGCCUUGCGCGCACCGGCGGACGGCUCAGUAACACGUCGGUAACCUACCCUCGGGAGGGGGAUAACCCCGGGAAACUGGGGCUAAUCCCCCAUAGGCCUGAGGUACUGGAAGGUCCUCAGGCCGAAAGGGGCUUCUGCCCGCCCGAGGAUGGGCCGGCGGCCGAUUAGGUAGUUGGUGGGGUAACGGCCCACCAAGCCGAAGAUCGGUACGGGCCAUGAGAGUGGGAGCCCGGAGAUGGACACUGAGACACGGGUCCAGGCCCUACGGGGCGCAGCAGGCGCGAAACCUCCGCAAUGCGGGAAACCGCGACGGGGGGACCCCCAGUGCCGUGGCAUCGCCACGGCUUUUCCGGAGUGUAAAAAGCUCCGGGAAUAAGGGCUGGGCAAGGCCGGUGGCAGCCGCCGCGGUAAUACCGGCGGCCCGAGUGGUGGCCGCUAUUAUUGGGCCUAAAGCGUCCGUAGCCGGGCCCGUAAGUCCCUGGCGAAAUCUCACGGCUCAACCGUGGGGCUUGCUGGGGAUACUGCGGGCCUUGGGACCGGGAGAGGCCGGGGGUACCCCUGGGGUAGGGGUGAAAUCCUAUAAUCCCAGGGGGACCGCCAGUGGCGAAGGCGCCCGGCUGGAACGGGUCCGACGGUGAGGGACGAAGGCCAGGGGAGCGAACCGGAUUAGAUACCCGGGUAGUCCUGGCUGUAAAGGAUGCGGGCUAGGUGUCGGGCGAGCUUCGAGCUCGCCCGGUGCCGAAGGGAAGCCGUUAAGCCCGCCGCCUGGGGAGUACGGCCGCAAGGCUGAAACUUAAAGGAAUUGGCG
rnacentral:rRNA from 1 species